rnacentral:tRNA from 1 species
GGAGAGGUGCCGGAGCGGUUGAACGGGCGCGACUGGAAAUCGCGUAACGGGGGUCAACCUCGUUCGAGGGUUCGAAUCCCUCCCUCUCCGCCA